rnacentral:rRNA from 1 species
CGUGUAGGCGGUCGGGCAAGUCAGAUGUGAAAGCCUUCUGCUUAACAGAAGAAGUGCAUUUGAAACUACCCGGCUAGAGUACGGGAGAGGAGAGUGGAAUUCCCGGUGUAGAGGUGAAAUUCGUAGAUAUCGGGAGGAACACCAGUGGCGAAGGCGGCUCUCUGGCCCGAUACUGACGCUGAGACGCGAAAGCGUGGGGAGCAAACAGGAUUAGAUACCCUGGUAGUCCACGCCCUAAACGAUGGGCACUAGGUGUAGGAGGUAUUGACCCCUUCUGUGCCGAAGCUAACGCAUUAAGUGCCCCGCCUGGGGAGUACGGCCGCAAGGCUAAA